UUCGCAAUGCCCGAAAGGGUGACGAAGCGACGCCGCGUGUGGGAAGAAGGCCUUCGGGUUGUAAACCACUGUCGGGAGUUAAGAAAUACAAGGAUAUUAAUAGUGUCUUUGUUUGACUAAGGCUCCGGAGGAGGCCACGGCUAACUCUGUGCCAGCAGCCGCGGUAAUACAGAGGCGGCAAGCGUUGUUCGGAAUUAUUGGGCGUAAAGAGCACGUAGGCGGCUAUGUAAGUCGGUUGUGAAAGCCUUCCGCUCAACGGAAGAACAGCAUCCGAUACUACAUGGCUUGAGUGCGGGAGGGGAGAGUGGAACUUCUGGUGGAGCGGUGAAAUGCGUAGAUAUCAGAAGGAACGCCGGCGGCGAAAGCGGCUCUCUGGCCCAUAACUGACGCUGAGUGUGCGAAAGCUAGGGGAGCAAACGGGAUUAGAUACCCCGGUAGUCCUAGCCGUAAACGAUGGGCACUAAGUAGAGGGGUUUU
rnacentral:rRNA from 1 species